AGAAUGAAGAAAAAUAAUGGACAUUUUUAACCAAAAAAAAAAAGGAAAGAAAGAAAGAAAGAAAAAAAGAGAUGUAACUCGAGCAUCAGAAAGUGUAUGCUUCCCAGCCAGUUGAGGACUUCCAACACUAAGAUUAAUUCCGUAAAGCCAUCACCGACAAUCUGUUUAUGGCACCAUCAACUCAGUAAACUGAUAGAUGUCAACAGGCCAGCUCCACCGUGCUAUAGUGCCUGGGAAAUCCCAAUUUCUUCAUUCGAUCAAACCUUUCAUGAAAGGAGCAAUUCCUCAUACUUCAUCAUCCACAAUGCUCCAAACCAUCCAGAAUAUCGAAAAGGCAAGAAGUAUCACAAGGUAUCCAAGCUUAUACAACCGAACCUUCUUAUCCCACGGAAGCUGAUUGAAAAUCUCAGUUACAUCCACCAAGUGGCAGCGAUCAGUAUAGACUUUGAUGUUAUAAUAUAAGUAUGGCAGACAUAUCAGAAACAUCAACCAAUGCCCUGUCACAAGAUGUAGGAAGCACAAUGCUCCUUGAAGAGCAAAUUCUGGCACCACUACUCUAUUAAUCCGAGAUGCUGAAUCAUAAGGG
rnacentral:misc_RNA from 1 species